UACGUAGGGAGCAAGCGUUAUCCGGAAUUAUUGGGUGUAAAGGGUGCGUAGACGGGAUAACAAGUUGGUUGUGAAACCCCUCGGCUCAACUGAGGAACUGCAACCAAAACUAUUAUUCUUGAGUGCAGGAGAGGAAAGUGGAAUUCCUAGUGUAGCGGUGAGAUGCGUAGAUAUUAGGAAGAACACCGGUGGCGAAGGCGACUUUCUGGACUGUAACUGACGUUGAGGCACGAAAGUGUGGGGAGCAAACAGG
rnacentral:rRNA from 1 species